rnacentral:rRNA from 1 species
ACGUACACUCCUGCGGGAGGCAGCAGUGGGGAAUUUUGGACAAUGGGCGCAAGCCUGAUCCAGCCAUGCCGCGUGCGGGAAGAAGGCCUUCGGGUUGUAAACCGCUUUUGUCAGGGAAGAAAAGGUUCUGGCUAAUACCUGGGACUCAUGACGGUACCUGCAGAAUAAGCACCGGCUAACUACGUGCCAGCAGCCGCGGUAAUACGUAGGGUGCAAGCGUUAAUCGGAAUUACUGGGCGUAAAGCGUGCGCAGGCGGUUAUGCAAGACAGAGGUGAAAUCCCCGGGCGCAACCUGGGGACUGCCUUUGUGACUGCAUGGCUAGAGUACGGUAGAGGGGGAUGGAAUUCCGCGUGUAGCAGUGAAAUGCGUAGAUAUGCGGAGGAACACCGAUGGCGAAGGCAAUCCCCUGUACCUGUACUGACGCUCAUGCACGAAAGCGUGGGGAGCAAACAGGAUUAGAAACCCUUGUAGUCCCAUGAU